rnacentral:lncRNA from 1 species
AAAAGAGUACCUCAUCAUUAUAAUAAUAAUAAUUUGCUGUAAAUAAUUACUUAAAACAAAUAAAAAAAGACUAAACUAAUUAUAAUAUGACAUCUGGACAUGGGUCUUUUUAAUUUGGGAGUAAUUUGGUGCAAGGGUAUCUCAAAGAAGGAGUGUCCCUUCUUAUUUCUCCCAUCGUGCAUUUCUGCCACUUCCUUUUUUUAUUUUUUAAAUAUUUUUGUGUUCAGGUACUCAUAGAUAGUAAGCCCAGUUACAAAAAAAAAAAGGUACUCAUAGAUAGACCAAUGACUGCGGGUGCUGCUUCUCGGAAACCAGAAAAUAAGAUAGUAUUGGCCUGUUAAAGGCAACCUUAAUGGUGGGGUGUUUAGAGGGGAUAUCUAACAAUUUUGUUUAAAAUUUAUUAAUAAAAAAAGAAAGAGAUAGAAUUUGUGCCAGAGAAAGUUCCAUUUUCAAAUUUCUAUACAUAAUUUUUAGAAUCCCUUUGACAUUAAUCACAUGAUAAUUGAUAGCUCUUCUUUUAAUUUUCCAAAUUUAAUUGAAUAUUACAAUAAUUAUACAUAUAAAAUAUAUAUUUAUUUAGAUACUAAAUAGGGUAUGUAACGAGUGAAGGUGCUCUAGGCCCUAACAUGACCACUGGAUUAAAACAAAUACAUGUGUAUCCGACAACCUUCUUUUUUAAAUAAAAUUAGUAUUUGAUUUUCAUAAUCUAUUAGCAUAAAUCACUGUUUACAUGCGACCAUGUUAAUAUUUUAGAAGUAAAUAAUUAACUUCUAAAAUCAAACAGAAAACCAACUUCUAAAAUCAUACAGAGCUCAGCUUCAUAAGAUUCUUGUUAUUUCAAAAACAGCUUUAUGAGAUGGUAAAGUUUAUUUAGGCUACGAGUGGGAACAAUAUAAGAGACGUUUCUACACGAAAGAUGGUAAGGACAACAUUAUUGGGAGUCUUUUAAGAUAUCUUUUAAGGGAAAGAGGUGGGAACCGAAAAAGAAAGAGAAGAGAAAAGCCUUUAAUUAAGGGCUGUCCCUUACUCUCCAAUGACCAAAAAAAAAAAAAAACAAGGGAUUCUCUCCCUCUCUCUGUUCAUCCCACCAAUAAUAUUGCUCUAAGACUGCAUUCGACCUUCCAUUCAAUAAAAAAAAGAUUCAAUUGUGUUUUUAAUAAAAUAAAAUAAAUAAUAAAGCACUCCAAUAGUUGUAUAAGUAUUCUAUUUCUUAAAAUAAAAUCAUGGUCUGUUAGUAACAGUAUUCACACUUCAUAUUUUAAGUGUACUUCUCACCUGGUUAACUAAUAUCGAUUUGUAGUAUUAAUGUUUACCAGUAUGUGGUUAACAUUUAUUUUAUAUAUAACAUUUAUGAAUCAUUUAUCUUAGUUUAAAAAUAUUUAUAUACUUUAAAAAUACGUAUGAUCUAUUAAAUAUAUUUUUAAAUUUAUUGUAUUGAUAUUAAAUUUAGUAUUAUUAUGACAACAAAGUAUUAAAUACAUAUUUAACAUUAAAGUAUAAAAUAUUUUGAAAAUGUGAAAAUAAUAUAUAAUUCUGAACCAAAUAUAAUAAUAUCAAUAUUUUAGACCAUUUGAUUCGCUCGCUUUCCGUUUUAUCUAGGUUAGAUUCGACCCGAGUCGGGUUUGGAUCAAUCCUUUGAGUUUGGGAUCUUUCGGAUCUUAGACAUUUAGACCCAACUAGGUAUUUAAAAAUUUUUGGUUCAGUUUCGGGUCAGAUCUUCUCGGUCCGGGUCAUUUCGGAUAAACAAUUUUAACACCGUAAGAAACUGCUAUAUACGGAUACAAACGGUUUUGGGUCUUUUGGGUACUUUUCAUGUAUUUUUUGUCUUAUGAUCGGUUUUUUUGUAAUUUUCAGGUUUUUGGCAUUUUUCGUGCUUUUUCAUGUUUCCGGAUAGGUUUAUUUGCAAUUUUCGAAUAUGUUUUAUAAAUUUUGAGUAAUUCAAUUCCAUUUCAUCCUUUACUGAAUUUGUACCCGAACUGUUUUUGUAACAUGCAUUAAAAGCAUGCAAUAUCACAAAUUCAUAAGAAUAAAAUCUAACUUUUUGCAAUAGCUAUUAGGUUAGGGUUAUUAAAAUUUGGAUCCACUAUUACCAGAUCGACUCUAGAUUUCGGUAUGGGUCGGGACUAAGACCCGUA